CCUUUCUCGCGCGUCGCCGCCUGCCUCCUCUCCUCCCCGCGACCCCGCACCACGUCUUCUCUCAGUCGCCCACUCGCCCCGCCCCCGAUUGAACCCUAGCCGCCACUCCUCGCUGGCCAUCCUCCCCGUCCACGGCCACCACGCGCAUCGCCGCCAGAGGGCAUCGCCAGGUGUGCGCGUGCCUCCGCGGGUUCGCGCCGCAGUUGCCGGAGGCGUGGGCGCCGCGGGUCAACCUCCUCGGGGACGAUGGGCGCCACAAGCCUCGUCGGAGGUCGCAUCUCCAUCCGCCACGGCUCCGGCGCUCGUCCUCCUCACCGACGGUCGCCUCUCCAUCUGCCACGGCAGCGGUGCUCGUUCUCCUCCUUGGCUAUCCGCCUUCCCAUCCGCCAUGGCUGUGGCCUCCAAGCUUUGGGUUGUGAUGGCUUAGCUGCACCAUGACGUUGGGUCUCUUGUUCUUAUCGUCGUUGAUGUGUCAGAUCUGUUGCUGUGCUAGCUGAACUGUAGGUUGGUUCAUUGUUUCUGGUUUCACGUCUGCUUGGUCGAUCCCUUGUUCAGCAUGUGCCUGCAUGUUGUCUCCCUGCCGCAGCAUUACGGAUCUGCAGUUCACGCGUUGUACUGGAGAUUACUGUAAGACACAAGCAGAAAGGAUUCGUGGAACCUUGCCUUGGUUGAUCUUGCGGGCAGUGAGCAAGCCUCUAAAAUGAAUAAUUUUGGCCACAAGCUCUAUUCGAUCUUGCUGUUCUGCGGCUCAAAGGUUGAUGACUACCGUUGGGCACUGCCCAGUUAAGUCUAUCAGGCUGCUCCUUUCAAGGAAGAACGAUUAAAACGGGAUCAGGACGAUCUUCAAAAGCGCCAACAGGCCAGUAAACUCUGGUAUAAUGAACUGGUCACACAAGUUCCUGAGUCAGCAAUGCCACUCCCAAGGCAAACUGAAGUACCAAGGAGUCAGCUGCUCGAAGGGAAGGAGCUUGGGCUGGUGUGGAGAGAACCUUGAACUCUCGCCUUCAGGUCUACUCUGUUCUGAUUUUGGGGUCAGAAAGAAUGGGCGUAAAUUGUGACGUCAGUAGCUAUUUUCAUCUAUUUUGUUUUUCUGGUUCUAUAUAUAUAUACUGGUGGGAUGUUGACAAACAAUGCAUCCAUGCCUUCUUUUUCGAUGGAUGUAUGCUCAAGACAAGACAACAUAAAAAAUGCCAUGGUCGAGGUCGGCAUCUCCCGGGAAGGUCUCCACAACAUGGAGGCUCCAUAAUCGUUCUCCAGUUAUUUCCCACUUAUCUCCUUCAGAUGUGGUCAAUUUGGCAUGGGCACGCGUUCGGUCGGAAUGAGUCAGAUGGGCUUCUGUCUAUUGUUGUUCUUGUGUUUCUUUCUCUUAUCUCAUGGUUGCCUAUUGUAUGCAUGAAAAUGCCUGACAAUGGAGGCAGCCACAAGCACACAUAUGUUGUACUUCCUCCGUUCCUAAAUAUAAGUCUUUUUAGAGAUUGCACUACAAACCACACACGGAUGUAUAUAGACAUAUUUUAGAGUGUAGAUUCACUCAUUUUGCUCCGUAUGUAGUCCAUAGUGGAAUCUAUACAAAGACUUAUAUUUAGGAACGGAGGGAGUAGCUUUGAGGCACUGACUUGUGUGUGUUCUGAACUUUCAUUAGAUCUUCAUGGACUGUAUGCUUUUCUUUUGAGACAUCUUAAUCCUUUUGAUUAAUCACAUUGAUGUACUGAUGAUACUUAGGUAUGCUAUAAAUGUGCCAUUGCAAGCUACUAGAGAUGAUCUGUUAAAAACAGUAACCCAACGGAGAGAGCCGUAGGUUUAGUUUUCACUUAUGGCAGUUGAUGUGCUAUGUUUGCUGAUGUGCAUUUUUUUUCAUGCUAUGCAUGCUCUCCAUUGAUAUAACAAAUCCAUUUCUAUUAUUUACAUAAUUCUUUGCUAACAGUUUGAACAUAGUUUUUCCAUUGAUAGGGAUUUGCUGCCGAAUGAUCAGUUGUCGCUACAGAUUUGUAGGUUUAGUUUACUACUGUACUAUGCAGUAUGAAAGCAGUGUAAAUAAGUUAGCUGUGAUAACCACUAUGGCCUGCUUUUGGUAUAUGAACAACGAUGCUUUAGGUGUC